rnacentral:tRNA from 2 species
GGAGGGUAUGCGAAUUGGUGAGCAGCCACACUGGAGAUGUGGUGCCCCGAAAGGGGUUGCGGGUUCGAGUCCCGUGCCCUCCG